UACGUAGGUGGCAAGCGAUACUCGGAAUCACUAGGCGUAAAGCGCAUGUAGGCGGUUGGGCAAGUGGCGUGUGAAAGCUCCCGGCUAAACUGGGAGACGACAGGUCAGACUGCCGAACUGGAGUCCGAUAGAGGAGCGUAGAAUUCCGGGUGUAGCGGUGAAAUGUGUAGAGAUCCGGAGGAAUACCAGUGGCGCAAGCGGCGCUCUGGGUCGGGACUGACGCUGAGAUGCGAAAGCGUGGGGAGCGAACGGG
rnacentral:rRNA from 1 species